rnacentral:lncRNA from 1 species
AAGAUUUAUAAAAUGUAAGACAUCAAAAGACAUGUUUUUCAAAAACGAUAUCAAAAUGAAAAAUGUAAAAAACAACUUAAAUUUCACUGAAAAAUAUUAAUUUAAACAAAAUUAAAAGAGUUACACAUAAUAAAUCAGCAAAUAAAGCAGUACUAUACAUGUACCGUAGUUAAAACAAGGGGACAAAGAGCAGGAGUUUGGUUUAAAUUUAAAACUUAGCAUUAAAACCCUGAUAAGCAAAUCCAUUGAAACAGUUUAAGUUUUAUACUCAUGAAGUAUAUAUAUAAAAAAGAUAUAAUAAAUCUGUAUCAGUAUCUGCAUAAAAAAGUGUUCACCAUGCAUGCAGUUGCAAAAAUAUAACACCUCGGGCACUGAUUAUUUUUAAAUAACAAAAUAUACGUUUUAAUCGAGG